rnacentral:rRNA from 1 species
GAUGAACGCUAGCUACAGGCUUAACACAUGCAAGUCGAGGGGAAAUGACAUCGAAAGCUUGCUUUUGAUGGGCGUCGACCGGCGCACGGGUGAGUAACGCGUAUCCAACCUGCCCAUCACUUGGGGAUAACCUUGCGAAAGUAAGACUAAUACCCAAUGAUAUCCCUAGAAGACAUCUGAAAGAGAUUAAAGAUUUAUCGGUGAUGGAUGGGGAUGCGUCUGAUUAGCUUGUUGGCGGGGUAACGGCCCACCAAGGCAACGAUCAGUAGGGGUUCUGAGAGGAAGGUCCCCCACAUUGGAACUGAGACACAGUCCAAACUCCUACGGGAGGCAGCAGUGAGGAAUAUUAGUCAAUGGGCGAGAGCCUGAACCAGCCAAGUAGCGUGCAGGAAGACGGCCCUAUGGGUUGUAAACUGCUUUUAUAAGGGAAUAAAGUGAGAGUCGUGACUCUUUUUGUAUGUACCUUAUGAAUAAGGACCGGCUAAUUCCGUG